rnacentral:rRNA from 1 species
GACGAACGCUGGCGGCAUGCCUAACACAUGCAAGUCGAACGAGACCUUCGGGUUUAGUGGCGCACGGGUGCGUAACGCGUGGGAACCUGCCCUUAGGUUCGGAAUAACUCCCCGAAAGGGGUUCUAAUACCGGAUAAUGUCUUCGGACCAAAGAUUUAUCGCCUUUGGAUGGGCCCGCGUGGUAUUAGGUAGUUGGUAGGGCAAAAGCCUACUAAGGCGACGAUCCGUAGCUGGUCUGAGAGGAGGAUCAGCCAGACUGGGACUGGGACCCGGCCCAGACUCGUAGGGGAGGUGGCAGUGGGGGAUAUUGGGGAGGGGGCGAAAGCCUGCUCCAGCAAGGCCGCGUGAGUGAUGAAGGCCUUAGGGUUGUAAAGCUCUUUUAACCGGGAUGUUAAUGACGGUAGCGGGAAAAUAAGCUCCGGCUAACUCCGUG